UGUAAGCGUAUACCAAAGUUGUUGCAGUUAAAACGCUCGUAGUCGGAAUUUGGCAGUUCCGGAUGUGUGCACGUCGUGUGCGCACUUCGCGGGGAUUGCUUUUGUGGUCUUGCGUAGGAUGAGGCACUUUUAUUAGUGAACGUCCUCACGCAACCACUUUUUACUGUGAGAAAAUCGGAGUGCUCAAAGCAGGCAUUUGCCGUGAAUGUAUUAGCAUGGAAUAAUAGAAUAGGACUUGGUUCUAUUUUGUUGGUUUGUUGGGACUGAGUAAUGAUUAAGAGGGACAGUUGGGGGCAUUUGUAUUUCGGUGCUAGAGGUGAAAUUCUUAGAUUACCGAAAGACAAACUGCUGCGAAAGCGUCUGCCAAGGAUGUUUUCAUCGA
rnacentral:rRNA from 1 species